UCUGUGGGAUCAGUGGCGAACGGGUGAGUAACACGUGAGCAACCUGCCCCUGACUCUGGGAUAAGCGCUGGAAACGGCGUCUAAUACUGGAUAUGUGACGUGACCGCAUGGUCUGCGUUUGGAAAGAUUUUUCGGUUGGGGAUGGGCUCGCGGCCUAUCAGCUUGUUGGUGAGGUAAUGGCUCACCAAGGCGUCGACGGGUAGCCGGCCUGAGAGGGUGACCGGCCACACUGGGACUGAGACACGGCCCAGACUCCUACGGGAGGCAGCAGUGGGGAAUAUUGCACAAUGGGCGAAAGCCUGAUGCAGCAACGCCGCGUGAGGGAUGACGGCCUUCGGGUUGUAAACCUCUUUUAGCAGGGAAGAAGCGAAAGUGACGGUACCUGCAGAAAAAGCGCCGGCUAACUACGUGCCAGCAGCCGCGGUAAUACGUAGGGCGCAAGCGUUAUCCGGAAUUAUUGGGCGUAAAGAGCUCGUAGGCGGUUUGUCGCGUCUGCUGUGA
rnacentral:rRNA from 1 species